UACAGAGGUCUCAAGCGUUGCUCGGAUUCAUUGGGCGUAAAGGGUGCGUAGGUGGCAUGGUAAGUCGGAUGUGAAAUCCCGGGGCUCAACCCCGGAACUGCAUUCGAUACUGCUGAGCUAGAGUACUGGAGAGGAGAUUGGAAUUUACGGUGUAGCAGUGAAAUGCGUAGAUAUCGUAAGGAAGACCAGUGGCGAAGGCGGAUCUCUGGACAGUUACUGACACUGAGGCACGAAGGCCAGGGGAGCAAACGGG
rnacentral:rRNA from 1 species